UUCAGAAUAAUUUGUAGUAUAUAAAUUUUGUAAGGUAUUUAUAUCUGCACACAUGAUUUUUGCGAGACGUGUGUCACGUUCUUUAGUGUUUAUCCUGGAAAGAAAGAUACUGUGGCGCCAAUCCCCCUCACGAAAGAAGAAAGUUUUACAACGUGUUUACAAUGGUGACAACAAGCGCUUGUUUGGAUCAAAGUAAAUACUUGAUUUUCAAAAGUAUGUGAAAUAUUUGAAGUUCGCGGCAUAGAACCUUUAAAAUAUGUCUGAGAGUUUUAUACACUGAUCUGUUAUUGUUAUCGAAACAUGACUAUGAACGAAAUGAAUUGUGAUUGGUUGUUUGAAAUGUCGGUCAAAUGGCUUCAUGGGUGGUCCUUGGCCAGUGAAAGCUGCCUUGAAUUCCAGACCACUAAUACGUGAGACUAACUAGACAGUGACCAUGUGGUGACUUUGAAUGUGCCUCUCACAGACUGUCUGAGUGUACUUUUAAAGGCUUAUUCACUCAACUGUACAUGGAACUUUGUGUGUCCUACCUCUCUCAUUUGGCACAAAUUGAAAUAUUCCCAUAAAAUGUCCAUAUUUGCAUUGUGACAUCUAAAUGCUAAACUAUUAUUUAAUAUGAAUUUAUUAGCGAUCACAACUAUUUCUUUAUACCAGCAGAAUCAAUUUGAAACAAACUCUUAUUAAUAAUGCAUCACUGUAUUAAGGGCUGCUUUUAUUUGUUUACAUCUACAAUGAAAAUGAAACUUUGUGGUUUUGUAAAAUAAAUAAAACAAAUAGGAUUUCCUUUCUGUGAACAAAUUAAGCCUGUCACAAAAAUGAAAUUAAACUUUGCAUAUAUAGGUUGUUACGUGUCACACAGUUUUUCCCAAAUAUAUUUCAAUGAUUUAUUCCUUGAUUGUAUAUACACUGAAAAAAUGGCAAUGGGCAGAUUGUUCAAUUUGCACAAAUGCAUUUCGUAUUUCCUACAUGAUUAUUUUGUUUCUCAUCUAAACAUAUUUUAGUCUUGUGCCAUUUAUUUAAUGCUGACGAAUGUUCAACCUGUUAGAAAUAAUCAUGUUUAAAUUAUACAAAUUUAUUGUGUUUUCUCUGGAAACCCUGCCCCCUGCGGAUACGCAAAGGAAAAACAGUUCGCCAUUUUCUCUCUUGCUUUGGAUGCAACGCUAAACCUUGAAGAUAUGAGAUUCACCUAGUCAAGUGCAAUUUGACUUGCAAAUGCUCUAUAGAAGUGGAUGAUGACGAAGCCUUGAUCCAAAAAUCCACAGAGGAGACCACAGUGGGAAUCUACAUUCUCAAAUUCCGUGACAGAUCAGAUGAAAUUGGGAUUGCUCUGGAAGGCCAGAACAUCUUGCAAGGCUUGGACAACUUUGCGUUAGCUAUGGCAAUGCUUUUUGGUCUUAUGUAUGCCUUAAAUCUCAACUACCCACCUGAAAUGAAAAAUACAUUUGAGGUACUGCAGAAGAUAGUCUUCUGUUUUUUAGUAACUUGAUACUGUUCGUUUAAUUCUGUAGCACAUACAUAAAAAUGAGUUGUACUCUUAAAAGAAAUGCAUGAAUUUGACUGAUUAUGAUUUUAAAAUUGAAAAAAAAAGUCAAGGUAUGCUUUUGACAACUUUAUAUUGUUCACCUUUUCCUCUACACCUGUUUGACAGUGUAUUUGUCUUAAUGUUUUUGUUGCAGUUACUGUAUGAAUGGUUAUUACUGUUCACCUUCAUGUUUGACUGUGCAUUGUCUUUUACUUGAAGUGAUGAAUAAAUGAAAUGAGUAAAGUGAUAUGAGUACUGAUGUGCUGUCAUUGUUCAUUGACAUUUGUUCAUGGAAUCUAAGCUAUUUUUAACUUCAGUCAGCUUAUAGUAUUCUAAAACUUAAUCAGGUUAGUUUUAUUUAUUGAAACCUCAGCAUAUAUGAAUGCAAAAUAUAAAAAUGUCAUGUUAGUUUAACAAGCACAAAUU